rnacentral:rRNA from 1 species
UACGUAGGGCGCAAGCGUUGUCCGGAAUCAUUGGGCGUAAAGAGCUCGUAGGCGGCCUGUUGCGUCCGCUGUGAAAUCCCGGGGCUUAACCCCGGGCUUGCAGUGGAUACGGGCAGGCUGGAGGCAGGCAGGGGAGAAUGGAAUUCCCGGUGUAGCGGUGAAAUGCGCAGAUAUCGGGAGGAACACCGGUGGCGAAGGCGGUUCUCUGGGCCUGUACUGACGCUGAGACGCGAAAGCGUGGGGAGCAAACAGG